UCCGGUUUGUCACCGGCAGUCCCAUUAGAGUGCCCAACUGAAUGUAGCAACUAAUGGCAAGGGUUGCGCUCGUUGCGGGACUUAACCCAACAUCUCACGACACGAGCUGACGACAGCCAUGCAGCACCUCUAUGGCGGCCCCCGAAGGGGAAGCCCUGUUUCUAGGACCGUCCACCACAGUUCAAACCCAGGUAAGGUUCUUCGCGUUGCGUCGAAUUAAACCACAUGCUCCGCUGCUUGUGCGGGUCCCCGUCAAUUCCUUUGAGUUUUAGCCUUGCGGCCGUACUCCCCAGGCGGGGCACUUAAUGCGUUAGCUGCGGCACCCAGGGGGUCAAUACCCCGGACACCUAGUGCCCAUCGUUUACAGCGUGGACUAC
rnacentral:misc_RNA from 1 species